GCGGCCGAUGUCUGAUUAGCUAGUUGGUGAGGUAAAGGCUUACCAAGGCGACGAUCAGUAGCUGGUCUGAGAGGACGACCAGCCACACUGGGACUGAGACACGGCCCAGACUCCUACGGGAGGCAGCAGUGGGGAAUUUUGGACAAUGGGGGAAACCCUGAUCCAGCCAUGCCGCGUGAGUGAAGAAGGCCUUCGGGUUGUAAAGCUCUUUCAGCCGGAACGAAACKGUCACGGUUAAUACCCGUGACUACUGACGGUACCGGAAGAAGAAG
rnacentral:rRNA from 1 species